AGUUGUUCAGGAGCCCUGCAUAAACAUGACACAUGCUAACUAGAGGUAUUUUGCCUCUAUAAUUCAUGAGCCUUACCUGUCUCCCUAGAAAGAGCCUUCUAAUGAUGGGAUUUACGGUAAGGAAGCAGGACUCUAAUCAGGCCUAGAGGGAGGCCACCACUUUCGACAGCCACAAGGAACCACGAGCAGCUCUGGUUCUCACUCCCUCUGGCUUCACGUGUGGCAGAGUUCAGCUGCCCAGGCUGGUCUCGAGUGUGCUACAUCAUCAAAGAAGAUCUUAAUUUGACAAUCUUCUAACCUCCACUGGGGGCUCUAAUGUGAAUGUCAUCAGGCCUUUUGUGGCUGAGGACCAAGGCAAGGGCUCCAUGUACGCCAGCUCAGACUCUGCUGCUGUGGGAACCACGUGGAUUAUAAGAGAAUGCACCACUUUAACUACAAUACUGUUCACAUGUGAAAGAAUAUUAAAUGCAGACCAUGUCAAGCAAACCCAGGAGCAUAGAUACUUGGGGACCUCUUCUCAGUGCUCCUCAAAGGUGUAAGUUCCAAAAUGGACUCUUCAAUGUCAGCCCACUUCCCAGUUCAAUGGUUGCCCCUGCCAAGGCCACAAAGACAACCACCACCACAGAGCUCUACUCUCCACGCCCAGGGCACGUGUGAAGAGAUGGCAUGUUACCUGUUGGCUCUCUCUCUCUCUGUCCACCUGCUCUUCCCUCUACCCACACAGAAAAGAUUCCACAAUGAGUCCUCAAAGAUCCCUGAUUUCUGCUAGACAAAAAAUAAAAUAAAAUAAAAUAAAAUAAAAUAAAAUAAA